rnacentral:rRNA from 1 species
GGUAGCUCGGGGCCAGCAGUCGCGGGAAUUCGGAGGUGUGAAGGGUUGACCGGAAGUACUGGGCGUAAAGCGGGCGCAGGCGGUUCGUUAAGGGAGAUGUGAAAGCCCACGGCUCAACCGUGGAGGGUCAGUGGAAACUGGGGGACUUGAGUGCAGAAGAGGGAAGCGGAAUUCCACGUGUAGCGGUGAAAUGCGUAGAGAUGUGGAGGAACACCAGUGGCGAAGGCGGCUUUCUGGUCUGAAACUGACGCUGAGGCGCGAAAGCGUGGGGAGCAAACAGGAUUAGAUACCCGAGUAGUC